rnacentral:tRNA from 1 species
GGCACCAGUGGUCUAGUGGUAGAAUAGUAUCCUACCACGGUACAGACCUGGGUUCGAUUCCAGGUAAAUUUCUUGCCA